rnacentral:tRNA from 1 species
CCUUCGAUAGCUCAGUUGGUAGAGCGGUGGACUGUAGAAGUAUCCGAUAUUGACAUCCAUAGGUCGCUGGUUCAAAUCCGGCUCGAAGGA